UACAGAGGUCCCAAGCGUUGUUCGGAUUCACUGGGCGUAAAGGGUGCGUAGGCGGUUGGGUAAGUCUGACGUGAAAUCUCCGAGCCUAACUCCGAAACUGCAUUCGAUACUGCCGUGCUUGAGGACUGGAGAGGAGACUGGAAUUUACGGUGUAGCGGUGAAAUGCGUAGAUAUCGUAAGGAAGACCAGUGGCGAAGGCGGGUCUCUGGACAGUUCCUGACGCUGAGGCACGAAGGUCAGGGGAGCAAACGGG
rnacentral:rRNA from 1 species